GUGAAUCUAUCAUAUUCUUAAUAGCUAAGAUGUGCAUGCAAUUAAAAUUCAUAUCUAUAUGCACAUAAUUGAGUGGUUUUUGCCCUAUAUUUUGUAGUUAGACUAACUACUUCGGACCUAAUGAGUUUGUGGACCAUAUUGUACUUAAAAGUGAUAUAGGUACAUUGGAGAAGCAUUAUUGUCUUGUAUUAUUCAUAAAGAAGGUGGUGUCACCAGGAGGAAAUUUGAGCCAAGAGCAUCUUACUAAUUAAUUACUACUUCAUACCGAUGUUGUCUCGGUAACAAGUAUUUACUUCAUGCAUGUCUAUAAGUAUAGUCAACCUUGUGUAGGUUGCAUCAUAACAUGUAAUAGUACUUAUUGUAUUUGUGUUUUCCUCCGUGUUCUUGAAAACACUCUAUCAUAAUGGUUAGACAGUUGAGUAGAAUCAUCUAAUGGGUAUCUAUAAAAUCAUAUUCAUGAUUUAGUUAUCCCAAGACAUGCCAAUUUAGAAAUUCAUUGCAUAUCAAUUCCUAAAAUGUUCUCUCAUGUGCAAUUUUUCUGAAAUUGCAAAAACACUCUAAUUGCUCAUGCUAUUUGCUAUCUUCCUUGGCAAUUCAUGGUUAUGCAAAUGAGAUCAAUUUGUGCCAUGUUCUUUGUGCCAUGUACCUUGCUCUUAUGUUAGGAUCAGAAGUGUAUAAUAAUGGAUUCACUUGUGCAUAUCAUGUUCUUAUCAAUUCUUACUAAUUUAUGUAUACAAGUUUCUUUUUGGAUACAUAAAAUACCAUUGUCCACUUAGAAAUUUUUGCACAUAAGUAAGUUACCAUCUUUGCGAUAUCACUUGAUCCUUGCUGGUCACUUGGUUCCUUCCUUAUUGAUUCAUUGGAGGUCUUGGUAUGAGGUUUUGAAGUGAGUACUUGUACGUUUUGCAUAUAAUAUUCUGCACUCAUGCGUUUGAAUGUAUUUUGGACCAAUACGUAUCAUGAUGGCCGAUAAUGAUAUUCACAUUAUAUCUUGUCCAAAAUAUGUUGUUUGGAUCUUUGAAUGUUUUCCUCACAUGUCGAAUGCUUAUUUUUCAUAUCAUACCUAUUCCAAUCUCUAGAUCAUGAGCUCCUCAAAUUUCGUGUGAUUGAAUAUGUGCAUUUUAUUUCACUCACAUCUUGUAAUAUGCAUACUUUAAGGAGGAACUCAUUGUCUUCGAGAUUUGUCCCAUUUUGGCAUUUGUUGCCAAUGUGGGAGAAGCUUAGAGGGAUUUAAGAUAAUCUAAAUUGGCAUAUGGAUUAUUGUUUAUUGCAUGAAUGAAUAUAUAUAAAGAAAACUCCAC
rnacentral:lncRNA from 1 species